GACGAACGCUGGCGGCGUGCCUAUUACAUGCAAGUCGAACGAAGCUUUUUUAACUGGUGCUUGCACCGACUUAAACAACUGAGUGGCGAACGGGUGAGUAACACGUGGGUAACCUGCCCCAAAGCGGGGGAUAACAUUUGGAAACAGAUGCUAAUACCGCAUAACCACAGAAACCACAUGGUUUCUGUGUCAAAGAUGGUUUCGGCUAUCACUUUGGGAUGGACCUGCGGCGUAUUAGCUAGUUGGUAAGGUAAUGGCUUACAAAGGCAAUGAUACGUAGCCGAACGACGAGGUUGGUCGGCCACAUUGGGACUGAGACACGGCCCAAACGCCUACGGGAGGCAGCAGUAGGGAAUCUUCCACAAUGGACGAAAGUCUGAUGGAGCAACGCCGCGUGAGUGAAGAAGGUUUUCGGAUCGUAAAACUCUGUUGUCAGAGAAAAACGUGUGCGAGAGUAACUGUUCGUGCAGUGACGGUAUCUGGCCAGAAAGCCACGGCUAACUACGUGCCAGCCGCCGCUGUAA
rnacentral:rRNA from 1 species